GGCGUACAGGAGUGAACGGCUGGCGGCGUGCUACACAUAGCAAGUCGAACGGGGAGUAUAUUGGAAUGAGGAUUCGUCUGAAGGAAAAUAGUAUCUUAGUGGCGGACGGGUGAGUAACGCGUGGGCAACCUACCGUAUACAGGGGGAUAACACUUAGAAAUAGGUGCUAAUACCGCAUAAGCGCACAGCAGUGCAUACUGGAGUGUGAAAGCCGAGACGGUAUACGAUGGGCCCGCGUCUGAUUAGCCAGUUGGCAGGGUAACGGCCUCCAAAGCGACGAUCAGUAGCCGGCCUGAGAGGGCGGACGGCCACAUUGGGACUGAGACACGGCCCAGACUCCUACGAGAGGCAGCAGUGGGGGAUAUUGCACAAUGGGGGGAACCCUGAUGCAGCGACGCCGCGUGAGUGAAGAAGUAAUUCGUUAUGUAAAGCUCUAUCAGCAGGGAAGAAGUAAAUGACGGUACCUGAGUAAGAAGCCCCGGCUAACUACGUG
rnacentral:rRNA from 1 species